rnacentral:sRNA from 1 species
UGGGGUAGAUGCUAAAUCCAAACUGAAACGUACAGGGCUGGAUGAUUGAAGCAGCAGCGGGAACUAGUCGGACCUCCGAGCUCUUUAAACUGUCCUCAGCCUUCCCCGUGGGAUCGGCUGGUUCUCCACGAGUUCCGAGCAGAAGAGGGGCCGGCGUUUAAGUCAAAGGCCUUGGGGCUCCGAGUCCGUUCGUCUCCCGUCCUGUGAAGGCGCGACCCAGUUCACAUGUCUGUAAAGUGAAGCCAUUAGUCCCUGCUUCGUGGUGAGAAAACUGGAAGGCGGAACGAGGAGGCCGCCGGUCCCAACCCGGCCCAGGAGCAUCUUUCUUCGCAGACCGUUUCCUGGCGAGAUCCUGCGCAGCCGAGGCUGUGUUAGCGCCAAGGACUUCCAGCAGCUGUUAGCAGAGCUUGAGCAGGAGGUGGAGCGACGGCGGCGGCUGGGGCAGGAGUCAGCAGCUAGGAAAGCCCUCAUCGCGAGUUCCUACCACCCGGCACGGCCUGAGGUCUACGACUCACUGCAGGAUGCAGCUCUGGCCCCCGAGUUUCUGGCCGUGGCUGAGUACAGCGUGUCCCCGGGCGCAGACCUCAAGGGCCUUCUCCAGCGGCUGGAGACAGUAUCGGAGGAGAAGCGCAUCUACCGGGUGCCUGUGUUCACAGCACCCUUCUGCCAGGCCUUGCUGGAAGAGCUGGAGCACUUCGAGCAGUCGGACAUGCCUAAGGGGAGGCCCAACACCAUGAACAACUAUGGGGUGCUGCUGCACGAGCUUGGGCUGGACGAGCCGCUGAUGACACCACUGCGGGAGCGCUUCCUGCAGCCACUGAUGGCCCUGCUGUACCCUGACUGUGGCGGGGGCCGGCUCGACAGCCACCGGGCCUUUGUGGUCAAAUACGCACCGGGCCAGGACCUCGAGCUGGGCUGCCACUAUGAUAAUGCCGAGCUCACACUCAAUGUGGCCUUGGGCAAGGUCUUCACGGGGGGCGCCCUGUAUUUUGGGGGCCUCU